rnacentral:rRNA from 1 species
AGCAGCCGCGGUAAUUCCAGCUCCAAUAGCGUAUAUUAAAGUUGUUGCAGUUAAAAAGCUCGUAGUUGAAUUUCGAGAUCAAUUUGUUGGUCGUGCCUCGGUACGUACUGGCAAUUUUGAUUUCUCCCUUCUGAAGAACCAUGAUGUCAUUAAUUUGGUGUCAUGGGGAAUCAGGACCGUUACUUUGAAAAAAUUAGAGUGUUUAAAGCAGGCUCGCGCUUGAAUACAUUAGCAUGGAAUAAUGAAAUAGGACGUUUGAUUCUAUUUUGUUGGUUUCUAGGAUCGACGUAAUGAUUAAUAGGGAUAGUUGGGGGCAUUAGUAUUCAAUUGUCAGAGGUGAAAUUCUUGGAUUUAUUGAAGACUAACUACUGCGAAAGCAUUUGCCAAGGAUGUUUUCAUUAAUCAAGAACGAAAGUUAGGGGAUCGAAGACGAUCAGAUACCGUUGUAGUCUUAACCAUAAACUAUAGCCGACUAGGGAUCGGAUGAUGUUAAUUUUUUAAUG